rnacentral:rRNA from 1 species
UACGAAGGGGGCGAGCGUUGUUCGGAUUUACUGGGCGUAAAGGGCGCGCAGGCGGCUCAUUUUGUCAGGCGUGAAAGCCCCGGGCUUAACCUGGGAACUGCGUUUGAGACGGAUGGGCUAGAGUUCGGGAGAGGAGAGUGGAAUUCCCAGUGUAGAGGUGAAAUUCGUAGAUAUUCGGAAGAACACCAGUGGCGAAGGCGACACACUGGCCCGGUACUGACGCUGAGGCGCGAAAGCGUGGGGAGCAAACAGG